UCCCUCUUAGCUCAGUUGGUAGAGCGCGUCACUAGUAUAUAUGCAAAGUUGUAGUCUUAAUGACGAGGUCAGUCGUUCAAAUCGGCUAGCGGGAA